GGAUGUCGAAAUGAAAACGGAAUCCGAAUGGCCUCGUAUUGAACGACCAACACCAAAAUAUGCUGAUGGUCGACGGAUUUCUGCACCCGCUGUCCUGGCACACGGCCUGUUUGAAAUUGUAAGUUUGUAAUUUGAAAACUUAGUUUCAAGAACUGUAAAGCUCUGAAAUAUUUCAAAAAAAUCAUAAAAUUUGAAGAAAAAAAAAUCAGAACUAUGUUUUUGAAAAUUUGAAAAAAAAAUCCCAUCACCGCUUGACCUGCAAAAUUACGGAAAAUGAAUUAUCAAAUAAUGUGCCCACAUAAAUUUUACAAAUGAAAAGCACGAGUGACGUCAUAGAAGUCGAAUUUUUAAUGUUAAGUGUUUCAGAGUUUUUUGAGAAAGUUCUGGAAACUUCCAGAAGUUUCUGAACAUUUUUUGGAAAUCGAGAUAAGUUCUGGAAAAUUUUAGAACGUUACUGAAAGUUUUGGAAAUUUCUGGAAAUUCGAAAAAUAAAUUUUAAAAAGUUAUGUGAAGUUUGACAUGUCAAGAUGGUUUUAGUAGGUUUAUGCAAUUUAUGAAACAUUGUGAUUUUUUCAAAUAAAAAAAAACAAUUUUUAGGUAAAAACAACCUCUCAUAGUUAACCCACUUUCAUAGAUUUAAAUAAAAUUAUGAUUUCAGAAACUUCACACUCACAAAUCCUAAAAAACUUUUAAAACUGUAGUUUAAUGUUUCUAAAACGUCAACUCGACCUUCGGACUUCUCAUAUGAUUCUUAUCAGUAAAAGUGCGGAAAAAGCACAAAAAAUAGGGAAAAAGAGGGUGGAAUUCCGAUUUUAGACUUCCUGGGUUUUUUGUUUGAUUUAAACUUUAAUUUCUUCGUGAACUAUUCUGGAAACUUCCAUUAACUACUACCAAAAAUGAUAUCCACAGUACUACAUAUUCCAAUUUCUACACAACUUCAGCCAACUUCAUGUUCCGUCCAGAUUACUGUACUUCAACAAUUGUUGGAUCAGAGUUCCACGCUGAGUUUGGAGCCGACGAACAGUCCCGAUUCUGGUGUUGGUGAGUUUUUUUUUGAAUUUUUUUGUAGAGAAUUUGAAGUUUUGCGCUGAGUUCAAGUGUUCAAUAUCAAACUUUGCACACUUUUUUUGAAAUUUCAAAAGUCUAAACUUGUGGCAGACUUAAAUUUUUUAAUAUUUAACUAAAUGAAAAUGAACGCCAAAAUUUGUGUUACUGGAAUAUCAAUCCUCGUGAAUAUUUUAUAGUUUUAGAGUUGCAAAUCAGGGGUAGAAUUCGGCAAAUCUUUUUUCCCGAUUUGCAGGACAUUUUUAAUUCCGGCAAUGUGCCGGUUCGCCGAUUUGCCGGAAAUUUUCAAUUCUGGCAAUUUGUACAAUUUUGCCGAUUGAAAUUGAAAUUCUGAAAUUUCCAAAAAAAACAGUGCAGAACCCUAAUUUGUCUAAAAUUUUCCGCAUUUGCCGUUUUUCCGGCAUAUUCGGCAAAUCGGCAAAAAUUGGAAAUUUCAACUCCGUCAAUUUGCCCAUUUGCCGGAAUAAAUCAUUGCCGCACUCCCCUGUUGCAAAUAACGCAAAUUUUUAGAAAUUCUGUUUCAAGUUUAGUUUCAAACCUUUUUUUGAUUUUUAGUAAAAAUUUCGACUUGAUUUUAGGAUUUUUUUGUUAAAAUCCACGCCGCCUUUAAUGUUUUAAUUUUUAGCAACUCUUACGCUAGGAUUUUCUGUAAUUAUUGCUUUUCAAAAAUUCACACAGAAAUGCAACGAUAGUAGCCAAAAGUCCAAAGGUCUCCACGCACUUUGUCAUUUUCCAACUGAUUAUCACACUUAUCAGCGCCACAAAUUUCCGUUUUCCGCAACAAGCUUCCCCGCUUCCUCAAUUUUUCAUCAAAAAUCAAACAAAAAAAAUUUGCAGGCACCGACUCGACACCCGAAACGUCUCCGUCAAGUUCAACGACACGCCGUCACGCAUUUGCUCCGCCACCACCUCGACCACGACCUCCUACAGUACCCCUGCCUACCGUAACCCAACAGAUUCCGUGGCAGACGUCGACGAUUUGGCCUUGGAUUCAGCAGGCGCAGAGUGCGAGCACGGCAG
rnacentral:sRNA from 1 species